rnacentral:rRNA from 1 species
GUGGGGAAUCUUGCGCAAUGGGCGAAAGCCUGACGCAGCCAUGCCGCGUGAAUGAUGAAGGUCUUAGGAUUGUAAAAUUCUUUCACCGGGGACGAUAAUGACGGUACCCGGAGAAGAAGCCCCGGCUAACUUCGUGCCAGCAGCCGCGGUAAUACGAAGGGGGCUAGCGUUGCUCGGAAUUACUGGGCGUAAAGGGCGCGUAGGCGGAUCGUUAAGUCAGAGGUGAAAUCCCAGGGCUCAACCCUGGAACUGCCUUUGAUACUGGCGAUCUUGAGUAUGAGAGAGGUAUGUGGAACUCCGAGUGUAGAGGUGAAAUUCGUAGAUAUUCGGAAGAACACCAGUGGCGAAGGCGACAUACUGGCUCAUUACUGACGCUGAGGCGCGAAAGCGUGGGGAGCAA